rnacentral:tRNA from 1 species
GCCUGGGUGGUGCAACAAGUUAACAUACUUGGCUGUGAAUCAAGAGGUUGGAGGUUUAAGUCCACCCACAGGCA